rnacentral:rRNA from 1 species
GACGGGGGGGGGCAAGUGUUCUUCGGAAUGACUGGGCGUAAAGGGCACGUAGGCGGUGAAUCGGGUUGAAAGUGAAAGUCGCCAAAAACUGGCGGAAUGCUCUCGAAACCAAUUCACUUGGGUGAGACAGAGGAGAGUGGAAUUUCGUGUGUAGGGGUGGAAAUCCGCCAAAUCUACGAAGGAAGGCCAAAAGCGAAGGCAGCUCUCUGGGUCCCUACCGACGCUGGGGUGGCGAAAGCAUGGGGAGCGAACAGG